rnacentral:rRNA from 1 species
UACGGGGGGUGCGAGCGUUGUCCGGAAUCACUGGGCGUAAAGGGCGCGUAGGUGGCGUCGUACGUCUGUGGUGAAAGCUCGGAGCUCAACUCCGGGUCUGCCGCGGAUACUGCGAGGCUUGAGUGCUGUAGAGGGGGGUAGAAUGCCGGGUGUAGCGGUGGAAUGCGUAGAGAUCCGGCAGAAGACCGGUGGCGAAGGCGGCCCCCUGGGCAGUAACUGACACUGAGGCGCGACAGCGUGGGGAGCAAACAGG